rnacentral:lncRNA from 1 species
UUUUUUUUAAAUUGUUCUUUGAUUGUUUAGUUGGGCAAAAAGUAAGUCAAAACAUUCCAGAAAUUGUGCAUUUUGCAUUUUCUUAGGAACUCAUGUCGUGUCCCAUUUUGUAAACUGGGAGACACCUCAAGGAUGUGGACUUGGGUUCCAGAACUCAGAGCAGUCAAGAAGAAUUUUAAGGAGACGAAAAAUUGAAGUGAGUUUACAGCCAGAGGUUCCACCAUCCAAACAACUUUUGUCAACCAUAAUGAAAGAUUCAGAAAAACACAUUGAAGUAGAAGUACGGAAAUUUUUGGCUCUGAAGCAGACACCUGACUUUCAUACUGUCAUUGGGGACACAGUAACAGGACUUCUGGAAAGGUGUAAAGCAGAACCAUCAUUUUAUCCCCGGAACUGUCUGAUGCAGCUUAUCCAAACGCAUGUGCUUUCUUACAGUUUGUGCCCCGACUUAAUGGAGAUUGCCUUAAAAAAGAAAGAUGUACAGUUGUUACAACUCUGUCUACAGCAGUUCCCUGACAUUCCUGAAUCAGUCACCUGUGCUUGCUUAAAAAUUUUCUUGA